rnacentral:lncRNA from 7 species
CAUCCUUCUGUGUGUAGGUAACACUGCUAAAAUGGCAGUUGAGCUGACAAUCCUCUGAUGUGGGGCAUAUCCAGUAGCAGAGCUGUAAUCCUCAAGGGUCAGCUGCUCACCUCUGAAUUGCAUUUCCCAGCACACAGUACUGCUGGAAGAUGAGGUUGUCCGUUCCUCAGAGAAGUGAACUGUAAGGAAAGAUUGUGAACGGGAGCUUUGCCUUGUAUCUCCGGUUUUCCCAUCGCCUGCUUGAUCUGACAUGACUUCUGUGUGCAAGUGCCAGGCCUCCAGCUGAAGAGGUCACCAAGCUCUCCCUUUGGAAGAUUGAUUCAGAGACUGCCACGUUUCACUGUCAAAAAUAACUCUUGCUGUUUAGCCUGUGUUUUCACUGUCAGGAGCACUUCAGUCUGUAUUUGCCCUUUCUUAAGUUUCUUGCAUAGCCUUGAAUACUCUUGAAGAAGUUCUUACGAAAAAGGUUCUGUAAGUCUUCAUCCUUGCUGGUGUUUUUUUUUUGUUUAAGUCUCACUUCCCCUCCCCUUCACAAGGCACUAUUUAUAGCUAGCAGCGCCAGUCAUAUUUUGCAGAAGUGGAAAUUUGAACAAGUGAGAGCCAAAGUGCAAGUUGAUAUCAGGAAGAUGCCUCAAAUAUACCUGGGACGCUCAGCACUCCUGUCUUCAUGUGAGCAAACGAUUGUUGCUCUGGCUGUUUGCAUUUGCCUAACCUUCUGUCAUCAAAUAAAAUCACAAACAAGAUAAAAUUUCUGUUGGAGUCAAAUAUGAGUGGAAUCCCAAGAAAGACUCUAAAGGUCAGAUCAGCAGUUAUAUGAUAUAUUGCUCCCCAGUAUCUACAAAACCUUGGUGACAUUAAACAGUACAAAGUGGAGUUUGCUAGAAGGUACUUGAGUGUUGUAUAUUUAAAGAACAAGCUGUUACCUGGAAAUAAUAAAUAAUGGUGAAAGGCUUCCAACUC